rnacentral:rRNA from 1 species
AUUGAACGCUGGCGGCAGGCCUAACACAUGCAAGUCGAACGAGUGGCGGACGGGUGAGUAAUGUCUGGGAAACUGCCUGAUGGAGGGGGAUAACUACUGGACACGGUAGCUAAUACCGCAUACCAUCAGAAGUGCCCAGAUGGGAUUAGCUAGUUGGUGGGGUAACGGCUCACCAAGGCGACGAUCCCUAGCUUGUCUGAGAGGAUGACCAGCUACACUGGAACUGAGACACGGUCCAGACUGCUACGGGUGGCAGCAGUGGGGAAUAUGGCACAAUGGGCGCAAGCCUGAUGCAGCCAUGCGGCGUGUAUGAAGAAGGCCUUCGGGUUGUAAAGUACGUUCAGCGGGGAGGAGUUACCCGCAGAAGAAGCACCGGAUAACUCCGUGCCAGCAGCCGCGGUAAUUC